UAGGCCACAGUGGUUGGAUCAGACAUAUAACCCCGGCAGGGUCAGAGUCCUUCCCCAGAAGUUUGCCAGCAGACCAUUAGUAGGGUGGCUUUCCAUGGUCUGAGAGUCCAAGCCCUAAGGAUGAGAGAGCUGUCACCACUGGAAGCCACAUUCUCUAACUGCACGACGGAAGUUACAAUAGGUGGAAAUGAGGUCAUCAUAUCAAGAAAAUUUCAGGUAGGAUGCAACUGAAUGUGGAGCGGGAAAGAGCUUCAUUGGCUGGGCUUCCACGGGCCGGUCUAAGCUGGCUUCCACAGACCACAGCAGGGAGCCGAUGCCGCAGAGUCCUUGGCCUCCUGAACCCCUGUGCUUCCACGGACGCGCUGGAGCCGUAUCGGUUGUUUCAUCACAUCUCUCCCGGGAGAAGCAAACCACUCGCGCUGGGACCAUGUCUGAUUUGUUACUGGUUUACCCCUGGCAUUUAGCACCCGGCGGGUGCAGCUGCCUCUGGGGUGUCUGGUGGGGGUCGGGGGACAACCCGGAGUGAUGAGUGACCCGGCUUCCGACUCUCCCACGGGAGACACUCGGCUCAUGGCGCCCUUGGUCUUUCCCACCUCCUUUUACUCGGGGCCUUCACCAGAAGAGAGGGAAAGCGACACGGAGAGCAGGAGGGGGACGAGAAGAAAGGCGCUCUAAUCCGUGGCCCAGAAGAAAUGAACAUCCCAACCUUCCCACAUCUCUCAUCUAAGUAGGUCACAUGGAAGAACUCGGAGUCCCUGUCAAAGUUUCAGGCAAAAACAAUAACUUGGUUUUGACCUUGCUCUCUUCAAAAAGCAAGUUGCUGCUGAGCUGCAACAUCAAAAAGAAUAAAUAAUUGUUUUUCUUUUUUGUUGUUAUGAUAUGGAUCAUCUGAACGGUUAGUGGUAAGCAAGCUGCUUUGAUUCGGCUCUGGCUCCCCAGCGCUGCAGCCUCUCUUUAUGUCAGCAGGCUCCUGUUUCCACCCCAGGACAGCAG